UCAGCAUCUAUGUCUGUUUUCAACAGUGUGCUGUCAGCAAUAUGAAAGGGCUUUUUCUUUGUCUCGUCAUUGCUUGCGUGUUGGGCAUUGCCCUAACACUAGAGCCGGUGGUCACAACCAGAUCCGCUUGUGACCCAGACUCCAUCUGCCAGCUUCAUACCAACGCCGUUUGCAGCCUGGAAUGCUGGGAUGAUGGCAAUGGCGGCUCUGAAUGUCUUGAGAGAUGGUAUGAAGAUGAACAAAGGGUCUUCUGCGCAUUGAAAUAAAUACACUUAAGAAACUAACAUGACACAUUGCAAGGUGAUUACAAAGUUGAAUAAAAGUCCUUCCCGCAAA